rnacentral:rRNA from 1 species
GACGAACGCUGGCGGCGCGCCUAACACAUGCAAGUCGAGCGAGAACCAGGGCUUCGGCCCUGGGGACAGCGGCGAACGGGUGAGUAACACGUGGGUAACCUGCCCUCGGCACCGGGAUAGCCCGGGGAAACCCGGAUUAAUACCGGACAGCCUCAUGAGCUCUCGGGCUCGUGAGAAAAGGUGGCUUCGGCUUCCGGCUGAGGAUGGGCCCGCGGCCGAUUAGCUUGUUGGUGAGGUAACGGCUCACCAAGGCGAUGAUCGGUAGCUGGUCUGAGAGGACGAUCAGCCACACUGGGACUGAGACACGGCCCAGACUCCUACGGGAGGCAGCAGUGGGGAAUCUUGCGCAAUGGGCGAAAGCCUGAUCCAGCCAUGCCGCGUGAGUGAAGAAGGCCUUAGGGUUGUAAAGCUCUCUUGGCGGGAAGAUAAUGACGGUACCCGCAGAAUAAGCUCCGG